GAUCUUGGUUCAGGAUGAACGCUGGCGGCGUGCUUAACACAUGCAAGUCGAACGCUGAAGCUCCCAGCUUGCUGGGGGUGGAUGAGUGGCGAACGGGUGAGUAUCACGUGAGUAACCUGCCCUUGACUCUGGGAUAAGCCCGGGAAACUGGGUCUAAUACUGGAUAGGACUGGCCAUCGCAUGGUGGUUGGUUGAAAGCUUUUGCGGUUUUGGAUGGACUCGCGGCCUAUCAGCUUGUUGGUGGGGUAAUGGCCUACCAAGGCUUUGACGGGUAGCCGGCCUGAGAGGGUGACCGGCCACACUGGGACUGAGACACGGCCCAGACUCCUACGGGAGGCAGCAGUGGGGGAUAUUGCACAAUGGGCGCAAGCCUGAUGCAGCGACGCCGCGUGAGGGAUGACGGCCUUCGGGUUGUAAACCUCUUUCAGUUGGGAAGAAGCCUUUCGGGGUGACGGUACCUUCAGAAGAAGCACCGGCUAACUACGUGCCAGCCGCCGC
rnacentral:rRNA from 1 species